CAAUAGCGUAUAUUAAAGUUGUUGCAGUUAAAAAGCUCGUAGUUGGAUUUCUGGUGGGAGCGAUCGGUCUGGCGCUUAGCGCGAGUACUUGCAUCGUCUCCGGCCAUCCUUGGGGAAAGUCUGUCUGGCAUUAAGUUGUCGGGCAGAGGAUCCUCAUCGUUUACUGUGAAAAAAUUAGAGUGUUCAAAGCAGGCUUAUGCCGUUGAAUAUAUUAGCAUGGAAUAGUAAGAUAGGACUUUGGUACUAUUUUGUUGGUUUGCGCACCAAAGUAAUGAUUAAUAGGGACAGUUGGGGGUAUUCGUAUUCCGUUGUCAGAGGUGAAAUUCUUGGAUUUACGGAAGACGAACUACUGCGAAAGCAUUUACCAAGGAUGUUUUCAUUAA
rnacentral:rRNA from 1 species